GACGAACGCUGGCGGCGUGCUUAACACAUGCAAGUCGAACGGAAAGGCCCUGCUUUUGUGGGGUGCUCGAGUGGCGAACGGGUGAGUAACACGUGAGUAACCUGCCCUUGACUUUGGGAUAACUUCAGGAAACUGGGGCUAAUACCGGAUAGGAGCUCCUGCUGCAUGGUGGGGGUUGGAAAGUUUCGGCGGUUAGGGAUGGACUCGCGGCUUAUCAGCUUGUUGGUGGGGUAGUGGCUUACCAAGGCUUUGACGGGUAGCCGGCCUGAGAGGGUGACCGGCCACAUUGGGACUGAGAUACGGCACAGACUCCUACGGGAGGCAGCAGUGUGGAAUAUUGCACAAUGGGCGGAAGCCUGAUGCAGCAACGCCGCGUGCGGGAUGACGGCCUUCGGGUUGUAAACCGCUUUCGCCUGUGACGAAGCGUGAGUGACGGUAAUGGGUAAAGAAGCACCGGCUAACUACGUG
rnacentral:rRNA from 1 species